rnacentral:rRNA from 1 species
CAAUAGCGUAUACUAAAGUUGUUGCAGUUAAAAAGCUCGUAGUUGGAUUUCUGCUGAGGACGAUCGGUCCGCCCACUGGGUGAGUAUCUGGCUCGGCCUUGGCAUCUUCUUGGAGAACGUUGCUGCACUUGACUGUGUGGCGCGGUAUCCAGGACUUUUACUUUGAGGAAAUUAGAGUGUUUCAAGCAGGCGCACGCCUUGAAUACAUUAGCAUGGAAUAAUGAGAUAGGACCUUGGUUCUAUUUUGUUGGUUUCUAGAGCUGAGGUAAUGAUUAAUAGGGAUAGUUGGGGGCAUUCGUAUUUAACUGUCAGAGGUGAAAUUCUUGGAUUUGUCAAAGACGGACUACUGCGAAAGCAUUUGCCAAGGAUGUUUUCAUUGA